AAACAUGUCACCAAAUACUAAUGGAAUUGACAUGCCGGUAAAGAUGAUAUAUUUGGUGGUGACUGCAGUGACGUGGAAUGCUCGGGAAAAUCGUUCUAUUUUGUACGUGCCCUUAGUUACUGUGAUAUUAACAAAAUAGAGUUACACGUGCUGAAGGAAACAAUGGAUAUAUAACCAAAUCAAAAAGAAUGAAUGGGUAAAAUACAAGUGACAUUCAAUCUUAAGCUGGACGAAUGGGACCACAGAUCGGAGAAGAUGAGCCGACGUCUAGAGCAUUCGAAUUUUCUCCGCUACCAGCAAGUAGUGGUAUAGAUACGGCGUUCAAAGACAGGUCAGUGUAAAGUAUAGACUUUUUUACAAUCAUUUACAUUAAUCAAAGUCUUUCAUAAUAUUAAUGAUAUAUUUAAGCGUUGGUUACAUACAAAACAUUCGGAAUUUUCAAAAUUUUCUCAGUUGAAA
rnacentral:lncRNA from 1 species